UUAAAUUGAAGAGUUUGAUCAUGGCUCAGAUUGAACGCUGGCGGCAGGCCUAACACAUGCAAGUCGAACGGUAACAGGAAGCAGCUUGCUUCUUUGCUGACGAGUAGCGGACGGGUGAGUAAUGUCUGGGAAACUGCCUGAUGGAGUGGGAUAACUACUGGAAACAGUAGCUAAUACCGCAUA
rnacentral:rRNA from 1 species